rnacentral:rRNA from 1 species
UACAGAGGUCCCGAGCGUUGUUCGGAUUCACUGGGCGUAAAGGGUGCGUAGGUGGCGAGGUAAGUCGGAUGUGAAAGCUCGGAGCUCAACUCCGAAAUGGCAUUGGAAACUACCUUGCUCGAGGGUUGGAGGGGGACUGGAAUUCUCGGUGUAGCAGUGAAAUGCGUAGAUAUCGAGAGGAACAUCAGUGGCGAAGGCGAGUCCCUGGACAACUCCUGACACUGAGGCACGAAAGCUAGGGGAGCAAACAGG